rnacentral:rRNA from 1 species
GAUGAACGCUGGCGGCGUGCUUAACACAUGCAAGUCGAACGGAAAGGCCCUAGUUUGCUUGGGUACUCGAGUGGCGAACGGGUGAGUAACACGUGGGUGAUCUGCCCUGCACUUCGGGAUAAGCCUGGGAAACUGGGUCUAAUACCGGAUAGGACCACAUGUUGGAUGGUGUGGGGGAAAGUUUUUCGGUGUGGGGUGAGCUCGCGGCCUAUCAGCAUGUUGGUGGGGUAUUGGUCUCCAAAGAGGUCGACGGGUGGCCGGCGUGAGAGGGUGUACGGCGACAUUGUGGGUGUGAGACAGCGCAGACACUUACAGGGGGCAGCAGUGUGGGGUAUUGCACAAAAUGGGCGAAACUGAGACGGCGAGACGGCGUGUGGGAUGUGGGGGUCCGGGGUGUGGACACCGUUCUCGAGUGACAAGGCGCGUGUGUGACGGUACCUGGAAAAGAAGCACCGGCUAACUACGUG